rnacentral:rRNA from 1 species
UACGAAGGGGGCUAGCGUUGCUCGGAAUCACUGGGCGUAAAGCGCACGUAGGCGGAUCUUUAAGUCAGGGGUGAAAUCCUGGAGCUCAACGUCCAGAACUGCCUUGAUACUGGGAUCGUCGAGUCCGGGAGAGGUGAGUGGAACUCCGAGUGUAGAGGUGAAAUUCGUGAGAUAUUCGGAAGAACGACCAGUGCGGAAGGCGGACUC